AUCCAGCUGACGAGUCCCAGGUGGGACGAAACGCUCGUCCUGGAU
rnacentral:hammerhead_ribozyme from 1 species